rnacentral:rRNA from 1 species
CCGGCUAAAAGUCGGAGGAAGGUGGGGAUGACGUCAAAUCAUCAUGCCCCUUAUGACCUGGGCUACACACGUGCUACAAUGGUUGGUACAACGAGUUGCGAGUCGGUGACGGCGAGCUAAUCUCUUAAAGCCAAUCUCAGUUCGGAUUGUAGGCUGCAACUCGCCUACAUGAAGUCGGAAUCGCUAGUAAUCGCGGACUCAGCACGCCGCGGUGAAUACCGUUCCCGGGCCUU